AAAGCACUUUGAAAAGAGGGUCAAAUAGUACGUGAAACUGUGCAAUGUAAAGCGAAUGUUAGUGCGAGCAAUGGGGCUGGCGGCUCAGCUGCCUACUGAAAUUAUGUUACAUGCCGUGUGUUAGGCAUUUGACUAUUGGCUGUGGUGGUGCAUUCUGUUAGCCUGUGAAUCGUCCGAUCCGUUGGACUUGAGGGCCAUGAGCUGUACAAGCUUUUACCUCUUCUGGUAUUCUUGGAUGGCUGGUGGGUUCUGCUUCGGCAGUUUGCAAGUUUGACGGACUAUGUGAUGAUUCGCCACGUUUAGACGGGCUAGAGUUGUGCUUGACAGUCACCGAAUUGGUGGCAUGCUGGACAUUGAUGAAUAGCUGUAUUGUCUGUGGCGAAUU
rnacentral:rRNA from 1 species